ACUUUUGGUCCCUGCCAAAAGCCACCCAUUUUAGUAAUUCCACAGUCUCACAACUUCCUGGUGGCUCUCUCAUCUUGCUAAGGAACCCCUCUUACAAGACAUUCCCCUGCUUUAUCAGAAUUCACCUUCUGAGCAGGGAGCACUCUUCACUCUUCGUCCGCCAACCUAAACCAAGCAAGCUGAGAACAAGGCUCCCAUCAAUCCCCAGCCCCUCCCUUCUCUGGCUUGCAAGCUGCCAGCUCCCAAAGCCUCCAACAAGGAUGACACCUCAUUUCCAAAAUAACAAAUUAAAUGACU
rnacentral:lncRNA from 1 species